rfam:Asian citrus Psyllid, Diaphorina citri - Florida Strain, whole genome shotgun sequence.
GCCUGCCAUUGUACCAUUAGCAGUACCAGUUCCCCACGGAUCACUGAAGUGAAGCAACGCUGGGCUUGGUUAGUACUCGGAUGGGUGACAACCUGGACAAUCGCGUGCUGCUUGGU